UCCAACUCCGCCUCUCAGAUCGUCGGCGGAAAGAUGCAGACGUAUCCCUUCCGAACCCUGCCCGGGUCCGGGCACCCCAGGGCUUGAGAGCAGAGCUGGGAUCCCGCCCCGGGCGGCCGCGGGGACCCCGACGCUCCCCUCCCCCGCUCCCGCUGCAGCGGCGGUGCAGGGGACGGGCGGAGGGCCGGGCAGGGGCGGCAGCCGCAGCUGUCCCCUCCCACCUCCCGCCAGCGCGAGCUUCCCCGCGACGCGCUCCCGCCGCAGCCGCGCUUCCCCGCGCCAGCGAGCCAGCGAGCGAGCGGGCGAGGCCAGCGCGGGGGCCGGGCCGCUUCCUUCUCGCCACCGCGGCGUCCUGGGGCUGGCUCCAGCCGCGAUGGCAGAGGCUGAGCGGGGCUGAGCCCGCAGCCGCCCGCAGCCCUCGGGCCCCCUUGAGUCCCUGCCAUGGCGAAACAGUACGAUGUGCUGUUCCGGCUACUGCUGAUCGGGGACUCCGGGGUUGGCAAGACAUGCCUGCUGUGCCGCUUCACCGACAACGAGUUCCACUCCUCGCAUAUCUCCACCAUCGGUGUUGACUUUAAGAUGAAGACUAUCGAAGUAGACGGCAUCAAAGUGAGAAUACAGAUUUGGGACACAGCAGGGCAGGAGAGGUACCAGACUAUCACAAAGCAGUACUAUCGGCGAGCCCAGGGAAUAUUUUUAGUCUACGACAUUAGCAGUGAGCGCUCCUAUCAGCAUAUCAUGAAGUGGGUCAGUGACGUGGAUGAGUACGCUCCAGAAGGAGUCCAGAAGAUCCUAAUUGGGAAUAAGGCUGAUGAAGAGCAGAAACGGCAGGUGGGGAGAGAGCAGGGGCAGCAGAAAUGCCCUUGUCUUGCAGCUGGCUAAGGAGUACGGCAUGGACUUCUACGAAACAAGUGCCUGCACCAACCUUAAUAUUAAAGAGUCCUUCACUCGUCUGACGGAGCUGGUGCUGCAGGCCCACAGGAAAGAGCUGGAUGGUCUCCGAACACGUGCCAGCAACGAGCUCGCACUGGCCGAGCUGGAGGAGGACGAAGGCAAACCUGAGGGCCCAGCAAACUCUUCAAAGACCUGCUGGUGCUGAGGGUUCUGAGUGGAGUCCCCCCAGCCCCCUUCCCUCAGGAGGCCCGUGGAGGCAGGGAGUCUGGGCUUUGCCCACCACCGUCCUUUCAUUUGACAAUCCUGUUGAAAACCAGUAGCUGCUACUCCCCUGCCUGGCCCUGCGAGCAGCUCUGCUGUGGUCUCUGAGCAGCCUCUGCCCCCAGCCCCUCUAAUUCUGGAGUGGUGACCUUUCAGCCUGUUUCCCAGCCGCAGGCCUCCUGUGACCCCAGAAUGUGCUGCGACCACCCCAGGCUCCUGGGACGACGGUCAAGGCUGGAGUCAAGGCCACUUCAAGAUUCCUUAGUGCAUCUCGUGGGCUCUCUGCUUUUUCUCUUCUUUCUUCUCUUUCUCCACUCCCUCCCCUCCCUUGUAAUUCGCAUCCCCUAUCAUCCCAGUCUCUCCUCCCUUGUCUGUGUGUCCUGCCAAGCGCUGCUACUGCAGUUCCUUCCUUUUUUCCUUCCUGAUUCUGCCUAAGGGAAUGGACCCAGGCUCUGCCCCAGGGAGGACUGUUCACCCUGCUCCGGGGUGGGCUGAAGGCUAAGGGUGCUUCUUCCUCCUUGUGCCGUGGGCUGCCUCCCCAGUGGCCUGGGAAGGUAGAGCACUGAGGUAGGAAGGAAACACUACUAGGUGGCCCUCAAGCCUGGACUGGCCUCUUCUGCCUUUGCCUUCUGCUGACGUUCUGGCCUUGCCUGGCUGCCUCUGUGCCUCUGUGAGGAACUGAGUCCAGAGGCAGGCACAGCAGAGAAGGAAAACGAAAGAAACGAUGGGGUGGCAGGGAUUAAGUCACCUCUGUUCUCUACCUCCCAUGCCUCUCUCCUCACCUGGAUUCACAAAUUUAAAGAUGGGGAUCGAGGUCUGAGGACACCAAAGGGCAAGGGGAGCCCUGGGGUCAGAUACUGUAUAGUCAGCUGUGAACUCCAGAUAGAGGCAAGAGCGGAUGCGAAGGGCGGGCUCCUAGAACCAGGGUUAGAGCAAGAGCAGAGGGAGCUUCGCAGAACAGCGAGUGCUGUGGCGACUACAGGGCAUCAGAGGUGACAAGUAAUCAACCACUCCUCUUUCACUGAACCCAGCCUUAGGGAGUUAGGGUUUCCCCAGAGUCUGGACAACAGGCCUUAAGACAAGGGAAGAGAAGGGUGGGUAUGAUGGAAAUACUUGGUGCUGUUCUGCCUUCCAGGACUCCCUCCCCCUGGUUCCCUUAUUUCUAAGUCGGCUUUGCCAACUGCUGUGUGGCUACCAAGGGAGGGAAAGAGACACCCUCCUCCAGAGUUCUAUGCUCAGGAAGUUUCUUUAACCCUGUGGUUCAAGAGUAGCUUGAAGGAGGCCCCUGAAAAACAAACAAACAAACAAACAAACAAAGCCAACCCUGGUAGGGUUCAUCCUUACAUUCCCAAGGUGGGAGGAGCUCAGGUAAGAGAAGAGUCCCAAGAUGCACUUCAAGCCUGGGGCUGGAGCCAAAGCAGAGGAAGAACUAGGCACUGACCGAGCAUUCAAGGACCAAGGUCCUUUCAAAUCCAGGGCACAGCUGUGAUGACAGAGAGCCCCACACCUCUUUAGUCCUCUAAAAAGGGAGAUGGGGGUGAAAUCAAUGGGGAUUUCUCCCUGACUUAGCAAACAAGGAAGCAGGCAGAAGAGAACAGCUCAGGAUUUACUGGUGGAGGGAAAAGGAGCCGGGAACAAUAGUCCAUUGUUCGCUAAAGAGAAACAGUGUUGUGAAGACUGGACCAUGACUGGCUGAGGUGGCUUCCUUGGGGACUGACUCCUGGGUAGUAGUAAGCCUUCGGUAGCAGACCUGCCUUCAGCCAGGGACCUGAGGGGAGCUUCUACAGGGCACAGGCUGUCCCAAGUGUCACUGUCUUGUCCCAGCCUCUUAAGAAAGGACUUGAUUUUUUUUAUUACCUUGAGGAUUCUGGGAGGGAAUUCGGGGCUGUGACUCUGUACCGUGGUCACCCUGAAGUAUAGCAACAGAAGGAGGCUGGGCUAUGAAGAACACCUGUGCUUGCUCUGUUCUGGAGUUUGCCUCACCCUAACUGCCAGUCUGGGAUGUGGCUUGGGCUGUGUCAUUGGCCUUGACUGUUCAGCAGGCUUUCCUGGCCUGUCUGCCCAUGACCUGAGAUCAACUCACCCUGGUACACCACCUGAGUCCCACUAUCUCCCUGUGAUGGGUGACCUUUGUGUACUGUGUCUUGGGUCCAUUAUAUGAAUUGUGAGCAGGGUUCAUCUAUUUUAAACACAAAUGUUUACAAAAUAAAGAAUAUUUCAAACCAUA